AUGCGAGUUGAUGGGAUACCUAAAGUUCCCAUGGCAAACUGCUCAGUAACACAUGAUCAACUUGCCCUAUAGAGAAAAAUAACCUCGGGAAACUGAGGAUAAUGUUUCGUAGUUGAAUAGGCUUGGAAAAGUUUUUCAAUAAAAGGGAUAAAAUAAAUGGUUUUUAUCUGCUAUAGGAUAGGAUCGUGUUCGAUUAUGGUUGUUGGUGAGGUAAUGGCUCACCAAGCCGAUAAUCGAUAGGGGCCGUGAGAGCGGGAGCCCCGAGAUGGGUACUGAGACAACGACCCAGGCCUUACGAGGCGCAGCAGGCGCGAAACCUCCGCAAUACACGAAAGUGUGACGGGGUUACCCAAAGUGUUCAAUUUUGAACUGUGGUAGGUGAGUAAUGUUCCCUACUAGAAAGGAGAGGGCAAGGCUGGUGCCAGCCGCCGCGGUAAAACCAGCUCUUCAAGUGGUCGGGAUAAUUAUUGGGCUUAAAGUGUCCGUAGCCGGUUUAGUAAGUUCCUGGUAAAAUCGGGUAGCUUAACUAUCUAUAUGCUAGGAAUACUACUAUACUAGAGGGCGGGAGAGGUCUGAGGUACUACAGGGGUAGGGGUGAAAUCUUAUAAUCCUUGUAGGACCACCAGUGGCGAAGGCGUCAGACUGGAACGCGCCUGACGGUGAGGGACGAAAGCCAGGGGAGCGAACCGGAUUAGAUACCCGGGUAGUCCUGGCCGUAAACGAUGCAUACUAGGUGAUGGCACGGCCAUGAGCCGUGUCAGUGCCGUAGGGAAACCGUUAAGUGUGCCGCCUGGGAAGUACGGUCGCAAGGCU
rnacentral:rRNA from 1 species